rnacentral:rRNA from 2 species
GGAGGAAAAGAACUAACAAGGAUUCCCCUAGUAACUGCGAGUGAAGCGGGAAAAGCUCAAAUUUAAAAUCUGGCGGUCUCUGGCCGUCCGAGUUGUAAUCUAGAGAAGUGAUGCCCGCGCUGGACCGUGUACAAGUCUCCUGGAAUGGAGCGUCAUAGAGGGUGAGAAUCCCGUCUCUGACACGGACUACCAGGGCUUUGUGGUAUGCUCUCAAAGAGUCGAGUUGUUUGGGAAUGCAGCUCAAAAUGGGUGGUAAAUUCCAUCUAAAGCUAAAUAUUGGCGAGAGACCGAUAGCGAACAAGUACCGUGAGGGAAAGAUGAAAAGAACUUUGGAAAGAGAGUUAAACAGUACGUGAAAUUGCUGAAAGGGAAACGCUUGAAGUCAGUCGCGUUGGCCGGGGAUCAGCCUCGCUUUUGCGUGGUGUACUUUCUGGUUGACGGGUCAGCAUCAAUUUUGACCGCUGGAAAAAGGCUUGGGGAAUGUGGCAGCUCCGGCUGUGUUAUAGCCCUUGGUCACAUACAGCGGUUGGGAUUGAGGAACUCAGCACGCCGCAAGGCCGGGUUUCGACCACGUUCGUGCUUAGGAUGCUGGCAUAAUGGCUUUA